rnacentral:rRNA from 1 species
CGUAGGUGGCAAGCGUUGUCCGGAAUUAUUGGGCGUAAAGCGCGCGCAGGCGGUUCCUUAAGUCUGAUGUGAAAGCCCCCGGCUCAACCGGGGAAGGUCAUUGGAAACUGGGGAACUUGAGUGCAGAAGAGAAGAGCGGAAUUCCACGUGUAGCGGUGAAAUGCGUAGAGAUGUGGAGGAACACCAGUGGCGAAGGCGGCUCUUUGGUCUGUAACUGACGCUGAGGCGCGAAAGCGUGGGGAGCAAACAGGAUUAGAUACCCUGGUAGUCCACGCCGUAAACGAUGGGUGCUAAGUGUUAGAGGGUUUCCGCCCUUUAGUGCUGCAGCUAACGCAUUAAGCACUCCGCCUGGGGAGUACGGCCGCAAGGCUG